rnacentral:misc_RNA from 1 species
GAUGAAGAACGCAGCGAAAUGUGAUAAGUAAUGUGAAUUGCAGAAUUCAGUGAAUCAUCGAAUCUUUGAACGCACCUUGCGCUCCUUGGUAUUCCGAGGAGCAUGCCUGUUUGAGUGUCAUUAAUAUAUCAACCUUCUCUUUUUUGAGUUGUUUGGAUGUGGGGGUUUGCUGGCCUCUUAAAUGAUUCAGCUCCCCUGAAAUGCAUUAGCAGAACAACCUGUUCAUUAGCGUGAUAAUUAUCUAUGCUAUUGAAUGUGAGGGCAGUUCAGCUUUCUAACCGUCCUUGGACAAUUCAUCAUUAAUGUGACCUCAAAUCAGGUAGGACUACCCGCUGAACUUAAGCAUAUCAAUAAGCGGAGGA